rnacentral:rRNA from 1 species
AUGGGCAACUGCUUCGGGAGCAGGAUCGGCUCCGACAGCCCCUACAAGGGCACCAGCGGCUCCAACUCCCCUUCCUCCUCCUCAGGGUGGGCGUGGAGGAGGAAGGGGAAAGGGGGCGCGAGCGUGUCGAGCAGCCGGGUGUCGUCCUCGCCGUCGACGACGGUGCCGCCGACGCCGCGGAGCGAGGGCGAGAUCCUGCAGUCGGCCAACGUCAAGAGCUUCGCCUUCAACGAGCUCAAGACGGCCACCCGGAACUUCCGGCCCGACAGCGUGCUCGGCGAGGGCGGCUUCGGGUCCGUCUUCAAGGGCUGGGUCGACGAGACCACCUUCGCGCCCGCCCGCCCCGGCACCGGCAUGGUCAUCGCCGUCAAGAAGCUCAACCAGGAGGGCUUCCAGGGCCACCGCGAGUGGCUGGCUGAAGUGAACUACCUCGGCCAGUUGUCGCACCCAAAUCUUGUCAGGCUCGUCGGGUACUGCCUCGAGGACGAGCAGCGCCUCCUCGUCUACGAGUUCAUGCCGCGAGGGAGCCUCGAGAACCAUCUUUUCAGAAGGGGCUCGCAUUUCCAGCCACUGUCAUGGAACCUGAGGAUGAAGGUCGCGCUCGGGGCGGCCAGGGGGCUCGCCUUCCUCCACAGCGACAUGGCCAAGGUCAUCUACCGCGACUUCAAGACGUCCAACGUUCUCCUUGACUCGAGCUACAACGCUAAGUUGUCCGAUUUCGGGCUGGCCAAGGACGGGCCGACCGGCGACAAGAGCCAUGUCUCCACAAGGGUCAUGGGCACUCAUGGCUAUGCCGCGCCGGAGUAUCUUGCAACAGGGCAUCUGACGGCGAAGAGUGACGUGUACAGCUUCGGGGUGGUGCUGCUGGAGAUGCUGUCGGGGCGGCGGGCGCUGGACAAGAACCGGCCGUCGGGGGAGCACAACCUGGUGGAGUGGGCGCGGCCGUACCUCACCAGCAAGCGCCGGGUGUUCCACAUCCUGGACGCGCGGCUGGGCGGCCAGUACUCGCUGUCCGGCGCGCAGAAGACGGCGGCGCUGGCCCUGCGGUGCCUCUCCGGCGACGCCCGGGCCCGCCCCGGCAUGGCGGAGGUGGUGACCGCGCUCGAGCAGCUGCAGGACGCCAAGGAGACGGCCGCCGCGGGGGGCGGGCAGGGGAAGGCGUCCGGGGGGUUCGUUAGGAUACGCGGUGGCGGUGGCAGCGGGAGCAGCGAGGGGCGGCAGCAGCGGCGGCCCGAGCCCAUGGCCGUGCGGCGGCUGCCGGCGGCGCCGCUGCGGUCGCACCCCGAGUGA